UAAAAAAAUAGAAUUUUUUGUUAAUUUAAUUAUUGUUUUUUUUUUUUUUAAAGUUGACCAGAAUAAUUAUUGUGAAUAUGUAUUCACUGCCCUUUUGAAUGUUGCAAGGGAAAGUGGAAUUCUAAAUGAGCAGCAUUAAUCAGCCACUACGAUAUAUAUAAAACGAAAAAGGUGGUGCAGAGCGAGCAACGAAUAGUAAACAACUGUGACGGCGAACAAUUAAUAAGAAGUAAAACAAAUAAUGAGGCGGAGGAGUAAAUUUUUGUUGUUUUUUUCUCAUUCACUUACUUUCUCCAUGAUGGAAUUCUGCGAGCACAAAUAAAAUAACAGAAAGAAUCGGAAACAAAAUAAAAAUACGCUUGAGAUUUGGAAUGUAGCAUUUCACUCACACUGUGCAAGAUGAUUGAGGGAACUAUGUCUUAAGCCUCAUUGAUCACAGGAAGUGAUAACUUAAAUUAUAAACAAUAUAAUAAUAGGGGAAAAUAAUAAUAACAAAGAAAAAUAAUAAUAAUAAUAAGUAAUAAUUAAUAUAAAUGGUACUUCAAUACAUUGACAGCCACUAGAAGCGUUCCUGCCAAGCAAUCCUAAUUAUUUAUACCUCAAUAAUGUGAUUCCAUUUUUCAUAUUUUCUGAAC